AAUGGCUUGGCAGAGAUGUCACAGGUGGAGUGCAAAAGUUUGUCCAUUUUUACCAAUUUCUCAUCAAAGCUUAUACAUCAUAUGUAUGCGUUUCCAGUAUUUUUUUUUCAAAGAAAAAGAGUUCCCAUUAUUACCAUUCACAUGCCUAUUUUCCGGUGUUCAAGCUCAUUUUCUUUUUGUUUGGUUAUUGUGGCCAUCAAAGAGCUGGG
rnacentral:misc_RNA from 1 species